rnacentral:rRNA from 1 species
AUACGGAGGAUCCGAGCGUUAUCCGGAUUUAUUGGGUUUAAAGGGUGCGUAGGUGGUUGAGUAAGUCAGUGGUGAAAUCUUAUAGCUUAACUAUAAAAUUGCCGUUGAUACUGCUUGACUUGAAUAGUAUGGAAGUAAUUAGAAUAUGUAGUGUAGCGGUGAAAUGCUUAGAUAUUACAUGGAAUACCAAUUGCGAAGGCAGAUUACUACGUACUUAUUGACGCUGAUGAACGAAAGCGUGGGUAGC